GUGCACCAGGCGCGAAACCUUCGCAAUGCGGGAAACCGCGACGAGGGACUCCCAGUGCCUACGCUCAGCGUAGGCUGUUCCCGAGCCUAGAAGCUCGGGAGUAAGGGCUGGGUAAGACGGGUGCCAGCCGCCGCGGUAAGUACCCGCAGCCCGAGUGGUGGCCACUAUUAUUGGGCCUAAAGCGUCCGUAGCCGGCCCGGUAAAUGCCUGGGUAAAUCGUGAGGCCUAACCUCACGAAUUCCGGGUAGACUGCCGGGCUAGGGA
rnacentral:rRNA from 1 species